rnacentral:rRNA from 1 species
UAGCUACAGGCUUAACACAUGCAAGUCGAGGGGCAGCAUGGUCUUAGCUUGCUAAGGCCGAUGGCGACCGGCGCACGGGUGAGUAACACGUAUCCAACCUGCCGUCUACUCUUGGACAGCCUUCUGAAAGGAAGAUUAAUACAAGAUGGCAUCAUGAGUCCGCAUGUUCACAUGAUUAAAGGUAUUCCGGUAGACGAUGGGGAUGCGUUCCAUUAGAUAGUAGGCGGGGUAACGGCCCACCUAGUCUUCGAUGGAUAGGGGUUCUGAGAGGAAGGUCCCCCACAUUGGAACUGAGACACGGUCCAAACUCCUACGGGAGGCAGCAGUGAGGAAUAUUGGUCAAUGGGCGAGAGCCUGAACCAGCCAAGUAGCGUGAAGGAUGACUGCCCUAUGGGUUGUAAACUUCUUUUAUAAAGGAAUAAAGUCGGGUAUGGAUACCCGUUUGCAUGUACUUUAUGAAUAAGGAUCGGCUAACUCCGUGCCAGCAGCCGCGGUAAUACGGAGGAUCCGAGCGUUAUCCGGAUUUAUUGGGUUUAAAGGGAGUGUAGAUGGAUAUUUAAGUCAGUUGUGAAAGUUUGCGGCUCAACCGUAAAAUUGCAGUUGAUACUGGAUAUCUUGAGUGCAGUUGAGGCAGGCGGAAUUCGUGGUGUAGCGGUGAAAUGCUUAGAUAUCACGAAGAACUCCGAUUGCGAAGGCAGCCUGCU